UUUAUUUUGAUCAAUUAGAUUGGAUCUAUACUAGAGGCCAAACUAUAAAAUAGCAGUGCAUUUAACAUGAUGUGGUGUAUGUGUAAAAUAAUUGUAAAAGCCGUUCGACCAACCUGGAGUAUAACGUGACGUUAUAUAAUGUCAAGAAUCAGGGAGGUUCUUUUGUAGAUUAUUCCAAAAUACAACGUCAGCUUUCUCGAUAUUUUCAGUUGAUGAUUGACAUCGGCUGGUUUGCUAACACGUGGAUUAAAGAUAUAAAAAGCACAUCUUCACCUCAAACAUUAACAAUUCUCACUUUACGACGAGAGUGUUUAAAACAAAUAGUUCAAGCAAGAAAUAAUUCUAACGAUGAAUAAAAUUCUGACAACAUUUGUAUCCUGCUUCUUUUUUACUAUGAUGCUUUCAACGAUGCCAGUUUCCUGUUUGGUACAUUAUUCGAGAAUUGACGAUACUCCGCCUCCCCAACUUGCAUUUUCAUGGUGGUCCAGAGCAGAAAGUCAACGACAUAGAAGAUCAAUCGAUUUUGAUGAAGACCAGUUAUUCGAUUUCGAAUAAUGGGCGCAAAGAGAAAGAUUUUUUAUGCAUAACAUGAAAUGUAUAAAGCAUGUUUCAAAAGUUGACGAAGUUGAGUAAGAUCAAUCUUGACGAAUUUUAAUGAUUUUGCAAUGUUUAAUAAAUACUACCUCGUGGUCUAUCCGAAUAUAAUAAUAUUUUUUUACGA